UGGGACGGUGUUUCUCGCUGCUGAAGUGUAAAAAGUGGUUUUGAUUUGGCAGGAGUGUAGCAUUCAGGUUCCCGAAAAUCUUCUCUCUGGGAGACUCCUGAGCCAUUACUCAUCCGAGAGACUCCUGUGUGUGGAGGAAGUCUGCAUUUAGUUAUUCUGGGAGUGCAGGACCUAUGGGCAGGCCAACUCUGCACGCAAGCUGGGAGCUGAAGGCUGCCCGAGUUGGGCCGACGAAACCAAACACCACUGGAUAGAAUCAAGGAAGAGAUGUAAGGACCCAGGCAGAACCAUGGAUGCAGGGCCUUGGGCACAGCUUCCUGAGAGGCCAGCACUUGGCAGACAAUGAGACCUCCAAGGAAGGAAAUGCCAAGUAGUGCUUCAAAGCUUCGGACCACAAUCAAACACAGCAUCCUUUUCAACAGAAGCAGAAGCUCAUCUGAAUAUGCUCAAGGAUGCUGACAUCAACAUUUAAUCAUCUCCUCACUCAUCCAGGAAGAAGGGGAGAUCAGUUACUACUGUACUUUAUUGUGUUCAACCAAAUCACCAUGUUACAAAAAUAGCAAGCUGCCAUAAUAAAAAAUAAGGCUCCUCUAUCCAGC
rnacentral:lncRNA from 1 species